rnacentral:rRNA from 1 species
GAGUUUGAUCGUGGCUCAGAUUGAACGCUGGCGGCAUGCCUUACACAUGCAAGUCGAACGGCAGCAUGAUCUAGCUUGCUAGAUUGAUGGCGAGUGGCGAACGGGUGAGUAAUACAUCGGAACGUGCCCUGUAGUGGGGGAUAACUAGUCGAAAGAUUAGCUAAUACCGCAUACGACCUGAGGGUGAGAGUGGGGGACCGCAAGGCCUCAUGCUAUAGGAGCGGCCGAUGUCUGAUUAGCUAGUUGGUGGGGUAAAGGCCCACCAAGGCGACGAUCAGUAGCUGGUCUGAGAGGACGAUCAGCCACACUGGGACUGAGACACGGCCCAGACUCCUACGGGAGGCAGCAGUGGGGAAUUUUGGACAAUGGGCGAAAGCCUGAUCCAGCAAUGCCGCGUGUGUGAAGAAGGCCUGG